UUUUUAAGCUAAGUAUAUCCCAUGUAAUAUUUGGGAUAUACUUACCCUAAAA
rnacentral:pre_miRNA from 1 species